rnacentral:rRNA from 1 species
ACGCUCGACACCUACGGAGGCAGCAGUGGGGAAUAUUGCACAAUGGGGGAAACCCUGAUGCAGCAACGCCGCGUGAAGGAAGAAGUAUUUCGGUAUGUAAACUUCUAUCAGCAGGGAAGAAAAAGAUGACGGUACCUGACUAAGAAGAACCGGCUAAAUACGUGCCAGUAGCCGCGGUAAUCUGAGCGGGCUGGCAAGGC